GGAAGUAUUCUGAGAACCUCAGAUCGACCAUCGAGGAACAUCGACCGUGUCAUUUCCGGUCAUCUAUGAUCGGGGGUGUCACAAAGGUGGUAUCAGAGCAUGGUUAUACGAUGCUAGAAUGGGACUUGUUUCAAAUGUUUUUUGAGUCAAAAUGAGUCGCAAGGAUAACUAGGAUAUGCUGGCUUGUUCCUUCAUUUUAGGAUAGAUAGUCAUGGGAAGUUACCUAACAGUGAUAUUUCAUAGCAGAAGCACCGAGACAAGCUUGAAUGGAUGGAGCGUACUUACCGAGGUUAUUAUCAUCAUGAUCAAGUUUGCUACCCUCAUGGUGGGGUUCACUACCUUCCUGCUAGAAGUCAAUAACCUCAUGCCUUCCUGCCGUUCUUCUGAGUUUUAGUGGGGAUGCUAAUACUUUAGAGAGAUUUAUGGGAUAUAAUUGAUACAUCGAAUACAUCUCCGGACUCGUGUGUUAUCGAUGUCAAGGUGGGUGUUUUUUGUGAUCCGGUCAGAGCGAUUCGACUACACUUGAUCACAUAGAUGCACUUAUUAUUCCGGUUUCUCAAGUCUAACCAGCUCAUGCUAAGACGUACAAGCACCACAGCCAUACAAGCAUGAUUUCUUAAGCAUUUGUUUCAAGCUUAGCGUUGGAGGAAGAGAUGGUUUGACUGUAUUACAAGAUGAUGGAAGCACCAGAAGCAUUCUGUUUGCAACGGAAUAUCAUGAAGCUUAUGAUGCAAAGAAGAAGAAGUUGGGACCAUAAGAUACUGAAGAAGGACUAAACCGUUAGAAGUAUACUUUGGCUUGAGGCAGAUUUGGGAUCCAACACUCAGAGCAGAAUAUUCACGUGGCCGUUAUUCAGAGAAUUACAAGAAGGAUUUGGCAGCAAGCUAUUUGGAGAUGAACGCUAUGAGUUGUUGGUCGAGAGUCAAGAGUUACUUCAGAGAGUUGAGUUCGAGUUGGACAGAUUUCAUGAGUUCAGGAAGUAGUAUUUUUUACACAAGCAUCCAGAUACGUGGUCGAGUGAAUUGGAUUCAUCGAUUAUGGUUUGGAGAAUAAGCAAAAGAUCAUACGAAAAAUCUUUGGGAACUUAGCCAAGAAUUUUGGAGUAGAUAAAAGACCAUGGAGUUUCAAAGCUUCGAGGAGAUGUUAGAGUAUGACGUGAAUGUUAAAGAAGCUAUUAUUGCUGAAGAGGUUAACCAAGUCAUGCGGACCGUUUAUUUUCCAACCGCUGCAGAUCAAAGGUCAGUUUCAAGAAGUGAGUUAAGUAAGUCGUUGGGGAUGAUUUUGGGUGUACAUUUCAUCAGAUCAAGAUCGAGGACCUUGAGCCGUUAUGGUUGUGACUAGCAAAGACAGAAUGGUCGUGAUUGUCAAAGUUUGGGAAAUCCUGGAACGUUUGCAUCAUUCGCGCUUUGGUGGUUCUUGUGAAGAGUUAGGAAUUUAGGUUACCCUUCCUCAUGAAGUUACCCGAUCUACGUUACCUAUACCUAAGAUAACACUUGUUGAACUAGUCCGAUUUUCCUUACCGUUAGUCCACAUCCAAGUGUUAGGCUAUUUGGGUAGAGCCUACACUUUAUAGUUGCCUGGACCGUCAAAACCUUUGAAAAGGUCCAAUCACAGGUUUGCUUCUUAUCCCAUUGCGUGUUGUGUGCAUUUAAAAAUUUAUGAAUGAUUAAAUAAAUAAGUGAAGGAGUGAUCAAGGUGUCGUAUGAGACCUUGCCUAUGGACGGAAUUUUCCGCCCAUAUUGUGUUUGAUGCGGGAACAACACAUAGAUGUAGUUCUCGGGUAGUGUCAUUGUUUUAGGAAGGAUUCACUUUAGUGAAUUCAAGUACACUGUUCUUAUUCGUGGAAGUACUGGCUGCCAUUUAGAGUUAUGGUAUGCCUUCGUAUCCCAUCCCCAUUCCUUAGUACUUCCAUUAGAGCGGUUUGUUUCUAUCUAGAGUGAGAUUGGCUAUCUAGUUAUCGAGCUCAAUUAGGAUGUUGUUGAGGAAGAAAGUCUUUGAGAGAAGACCAGUUAUUGUUGGCCUACAAUGGUAUUCUACCAAGUAUUGGAGCAUCGUUCGUAUCAGUCUUGGGAGUUGAAGACCUUUUGGGAAAAGGUGAAGAUGUGUAUUCCAUUAUCUUGAUCAUUGGGAAAAGAGAAGAUGACAAGGAUCAGAAUACAGUGAAUAAUCAGAUAGCUAGAGAAUUUGAAGUUACGCUUAAGGAAUUGGAAGAGUUAUUGCUAUCUAGAAGUAAGCUGUUCAAUAUUCUUGUUCAACUUGGAUUCACUGCAAUAGCCUAGGGAUCUCACUUUCUUGCCGAGUUCUAGUAGUAGUCAGAAGAUUAUGAAGAGCGUCUCAGAUAGAUCAGAAGUGUAAAGAAUACAGUAAGUGAAAUCAUUCUUGGAAUGGGUGAGUGUGCGUAUUUGAGAGUAGCACCCCUCGUCUGAAUCAUGUUGGUGUGAUUUAUCGUGCAUGUUCUUGUUUGAUUGUUGCACGGUUAAUCAAGUUAACAUUGACCAGACUGGAGAUGUUACUUUCACGUAUGGCACAUCACCUAACGUUCCAAAUUUCAUGUUGCUGUUAUGGGAGAAAGUCAGAUAGAAAAGGUUGAGAAGUCAUAGUCUACAGAUACAAGAUUGUUAGAAAAAGUAUGCAGACCGCAGUUGACAAGAGUUGUGCAGAGUAAAGAAUUUGGUUAUCUUGAAAGUGGCUGCUCAGGAAAGAAAGGAUCUGUUGGGGUAAUCAAGGGAUCCCAUGAGUUGUUUUGAUAUGGGAAGAUUAAGAUAAGGAAAGAGCUAAUAUCCAUAACUCCUUUCAGAGACAGUUCAGUAAAGAGUGUACAUCUAUGUUUUCAGAAUUCGGGGACGAAUUCUUUUGAGGAGGGAAGAAUGUAAUAACCCUCACGAGCAGAUAUAAUUUUGGUCGAGAAAAAUCCCGCUCGACCAGUUUGGAGUUGGUUCGACAAGAAUUAAAAAUAAAAAUCGACCCCGUGAAUUAUUCUUGAUGGGAUUAUCUCGAGGCCAAAGUACCUACUCUUAAUAGUUCUGACCAAGUGUUAAUUAUUAUGGUCGAGUUUUUUCUAAGCUGUACGAGAACCGAUGGAUGGGAAACAUUUUAUCGAAAACUGGUCUUGAAUACUUUCAGCUGCUUGCGAGUCAUGUGCAUGUCAUGUGCUGCCUGGCUGCUUGCUUUCUUCCUAACCUGAACAUGUGACUUGCACCUUCCAGCUUUCUUGCUACAUUAAAGUCAUGUGAGUUGCACACCUGCUUGUAGCUUUCUUCAUGGGAAGGAAAAGUUCAGCUGCUUGUGCUGCUUGGUGUGCUGAAGCAUGUCACCAGCUGUCUAACCUCAUCUUUGUCUUUUGUGGGAGCCAACCCUCAUCUGAAGCAACUCCUUAUGAUAUAAAAUACCCUCUUCUCUCCUCUGGACGUUCAUAACCUGCAAGAAAAACCAGAGAAAAAUUCAGAGAGAAAGAGAGAAAGAAGAGAGAAAAAUCUGUGAGAAAAGAUUCAUGAAAAAUUCAGAAAAAUAUUCAGAGAAGAGUAGUGAGCAUGGACAACUCUUUCUCAUCAUCCUGUGACUUUAAUCAGUGAGUUUUGGAGUGUUUAAGAGCUGAAGAUUUGGUGUCCUGAAGUUGAGAAUCACCCAUGUUCUUCAGCCUUUGAUUUUGAUCGGUAAGAUGGUUGUGGAUCAGUUUCUGUGAGAAGUUUUGUUUGUUUGCCUACACUGGAGAUAAAUUCUGAAUAAAUCCAACCAUGGAUUCUUGUGGUGUUGAUCAGGUUAAUUCGUGGUUAGCUUGAAGAGAGACAACCAGUCAAGUUUAAUUAGUUGAGUAAAACCGGUAAGCUUCAGCUUCUUGAUUCAGCCAUGUUUUGAUGAGAACCAAUUGCUGUAUGUUGGUUAACCUGUCAGGAUCAGUUGUCUAAGGUCUUGUUCUCUUCAGUCUUGGUUGAUUUAUGAUUUAAUCAGUCUCAUAGAACCAGUAGACGAACUGAUAAGAAUUAUGGGAAUUAAACCGAACUGAUUUGAUCUUGUUUAGAACUGAAUUGAGCUGAGUAUGUUCUGAUCUGAUCUGAGCCGAGCUGUCUAUGGUCUGAAAUUGUCUUGAACUGAUGUCGUCUGAGUAUAACCGAGUUAAGCUGUUGGGAACUAAUUUGAACCGGAGUUAGCUGAGCAUGAACUAAGCUGAUAUGAACCGAGUUAAAUUGUUAAAGCUUGAACCGAGCUGAACAUGGUAUCAAUCUGUCUUGAACCGAACUGAUACGAGAGAACUGAACUGAAAUGUUAUGAACUGAGUUGAGUUUCUUCUUGAACCAGACUAGUGAACCUUAUGUUCCAACUGUUAUGUUUUGAAUUCAGAUGGCCAAGGAGAGUAUUCGGAUCAGCCGGAUCCUUGUGAUGGUUCUGAACCGAGAGUGAUCCAGAAGUGAAGUGUGAUUAGCUUGAGCUCGAGUCUAGUCUUCCUUAGCCAAUCUCAUGGAUUUAAAGGUGAGUCUAGAUAGAUGAUGAAUGAAUUAUGAAUGAGUAUAUUGCACAUUGAAUAUGGUUGAUUAAUUAAGAAUUAAUCAUGAAUUAAUUAAGAGAUAAUCAUUGAUUAAUUAAGGAUUUAUCAUGGAUUAAUUAAGGAGUAAUUAUUGUUGAUUGAUUAAGUAUUAUCCCUUGAUCUAUAUUUAUAUAUGAAGUAUUUAUCUAGUUUAAAUACUUAAGAAUUGAUAAGAGUAAUUCUUUGAGGUUAUCCCGAGCCUUAGUACUUGUUCUCAAGUACUAAUCUAUAAGUAUUCUAUUAAUAAGUGUGAAUCAUGUGAAGUCUUAUUGUAUACUCACUCUCCCGAAAGUCCCGCAUUGCCGUGAAUUGGUCCUGCGAUAUGGAUCAAGGUCAUGAAGACACGAUGAUGGGGUCGCACCCUGGAGGCCGUGUAACUGCAUGCAGCGUUGGAUGUUCUAUCUUGGAAUAUCUGAUGGAGAUGAUGGUUAUAUUUAUUCCCCGUUAGGUUCGGUUAGCCUUGGUGGUUUUCCGGGUUUAGCAUAUAUAUAUAUAUUAAGAGUAUGAGUGAUUGGCGGGUAUCGUGGAGGUGAUGUUUAAGAUAGAUUCACAUGGAUGGAUUGAGAGGCCUUAUAAUUAUAUUAAUUAUGGAAUAUAAUUCCACUGCAUUCAAAUGGUGUCGCUUGCUCGGGAUACUAUUGAUAUGUGUUUGGGUGUGGGAUUAGACUCACUGAGUAAACUAGUUACUCAUGACUCAUUUGAUAUGCAGGUAACCAGUAGGUGGGAGACCUUUACUCUAGGACGGAAAGGAACGGCAUUAGCCAGCGGUAGUUUUAUUAUCCUUGCAAAGUCAUAUUGAUAUAUCUUAUGAAUAAGAUUUGUAGACCGAAAACCUCGAGGUUAAUUUAUAACAAAUUUUGUAAGAUGAUUUUGAAUGAUAUAUAAAUAAUGUUUUUUUUUAAGUACGGGUUCCAUAUGAUAUUAGUCCUUGUCCGGACGAACUAACUAUCAGGUAUUGCUUUCUCGGGUUGAAAAGCCUAGAGUGGUAUCCGAUAGGAGCGUUGGUGUUCUUUGAUUGUUGGUCUAAGGCGAUCGGAAGUAUUCUGAGAACCUCAGAUCGACCAUCGAGGAACAUCGACCGUGUCAUUUCCGGUCAUCUAUGAUCGGGGGUGUCACACUGAUGGUCGUGGGGAUUUCUCCUUGGUAUUUUUCCUUUGAAGACCAAACAUUAUAACCUGAAAAUCUCAACACAAAAGUUAGGAAAUAAAACCUCACACUCUCAAGUGUUUAAUCUCACCCACUCAAGUGUUUCUCUCAGAUUUAGGUGAUCACACACAAGUUUCUACUCAAUGUUCUAAGAGAACAAAUCAAAGAAUCUCAAUGGGCAAAUCCAAGCAAACAAGGGAAUUUCUCAAGAUAGAAAGAUAAGAAAUUUUUUUUUUUUUUGAUUUUUGAAAUCCGUUUUAACCACCUCAAAGGCUGGAUUUCUCCUCAGCCAGCAGGCUGUCUCUUCCACCACCAAUCCACAAAACAAACUUUGAAAUUUUUUCUAUAUAUUUUUUUUUGAAUCAAAUCGUAGAUCUUUUUUUUAUAUGGAUGGUAAUGAGGGGCCCGGAUUUAAGAAAGGUAGAAGAAGAAGUGUUUAUAAGAAAAUAGAAGAUGAGAAAGAUGAAUGAAAUGGACAAUACCGGAAGAGUGGCUCUGAUACCACUUGAUAGAACCAAAAUAUGGAUCACUCUUUCGGUAUGGUUGAUAUGAACUCAGAUCCGAGAGGAUUGAGAACUGAUGGAUCGAGGAGUGACACUAAGGGUUGCGGAAUAGCCCAAAGAUACUACCAGACUUCGAUCGUUGCCGGAUGUGAAGCACCGGUCCAACAAAAGAAGGUUCGAAACUUGGAGAUAACCUCACCGAGAAACUAAG
rnacentral:lncRNA from 1 species